rnacentral:rRNA from 1 species
CGAGUGAAGCGGGAAGAGCUCAAAUUUGAAAUCUGGCAGUCUUCGAUUGUCCGAGUUGUAAUCUAUAGAGGCGUUUUCCGUGCCGGACCGUGUCCAAGUCUCCUGGAAAGGAGUAUCAAAGAGGGUGAUAAUCCCGUACUUAACACGACCACCGGUGCUCUGUGAUACGUCUUCUACGAGUCGAGUUGUUUGGGAAUGCAGCUCAAAAUGGGUGGUGAAUUCCAUCUAAAGCUAAAUAUUGGCGAGAGACCGAUAGCGAACAAGUACCGUGAGGGAAAGAUGAAAAGCACUUUGGAAAGAGAGUUAAACAGUACGUGAAAUUGUUGAAAGGGAAACGAUUGAAGUCAGUCGUGUUCUUUGGAUUCAGCCAGUUCUGCUGGUCUACUUCCUUUGAACGGGUCAACAUCAGUUUUGUCCGGUGGAUAAAGGCAGUAGGAAUGUAGCUUCUCCGGAAGUGUUAUAGCCUAUUGUCACAUACACUGGGUGAGACUGAGGACUGCAGCUCGCCUUUAUGGCCGACCUUCGGGUACGUUCGAGCUUAGGAUGUUGACAUAUGGCUUUCAACGACCCGUCUAACAC